AAAACAAAAGGGAGGAACGCUGCUUCGUUCGUAGAGACAGAACGUCGUUUCUCUAACGUGUGUUGUCUUUCCGUAUCGUGGAAUUCUCCGUUCGUAUUCGGAAGAAAUCGAGGGAAGAGAUGAAAGGUCCGGGAUACGAAGUCUUCGCAUCCUCAUCGAAAACGUUCGCAAAACGCAUGGCGGUCAGCCUCGAUACGCCUUCGCCAAUGAUAAGAUAAAAGAAGAACUCGACGUUCCGAUGGUUCCUCCCUCCUCCCAUUGAAAAAACAAGAAACGCAGAGAAGGAGAAAGAGAGAGGAUAUUUCAAAGUAGUAACAGAGAGCUUCUCGAAUUCCUCGAUCUCGUGCCGAUCGAUCUACGAGUACACAUUAGAACUACAGAUAACAAAGCGAGGGGUGAUCGGUAGUACAACGAAAGAUCCGCUCUCCUGUAAUUAUUCUUCUAGUCUUCUUCGAGUCGAUCCUUCUUUCUACGGUUCGCAAAAGAAAAAUCAAAGGGUAUCUAUCGUUCUACGAUUAACAUCUGGAAUUAAA